CUGCGCUUUUACCUUCUCUUUCUCGCCGUUGUUUUUCCAUCUUUCUAUCGGCUGAUCCGGCAUCGGCGGACUCUCCUCCCGGUGAGGACGGGACCGGAAAACACAUCCAGAAGAACGAAGGAAAAGCUGCGCUCCGAGCAGCCGAUCACUUCACUUAUUUUUGUUUCACUUAAUCGAUACGGUGGGGGGCUGGUGUGCUACGGAGCGACCCUCCGGACUUUCUCCCGGGGGAAGUUGAUCCAGAGUAAGUGCGCCAUGUUCCCGCAGCCAAGCUUCUCCCCGGAGCGGCUUCUCUGUCCGGUGAGGGAGGCGGGGAUCCGGUCUGCUCCACGGCCAGCCUGCAGCAAGGUUUCAAUUACCCGGAUGACAUCACAGGGGAGUUGUGUUACCUGACAGGUCCUCAUGACAGGUCCUCAUCACAAGUCCUCAUCACAAGUCCUCAUCAGAGGUCCUCAUGACAGGUCCUCAAUACAGGUCCUCAUGACAGGUCCUCAUCACAAGUCCUCAUGUCAGGUCCUCAAUACAGGUCCUCAUGUCAGGUCCUCAAUACAGGUCCUCAUCACAAGUCCUCGUCACAGGUCCUCAUCACAAGUCCUCAUCAC
ensembl:lncRNA